AUUGUACUGUCAUUCCAUGUGAAAGCAAAAUUAUUGUAAAUAAACUUAUUCAGUACGGGUUUUGAUAGCAUCGGAUUGUAUCCCCUUGAUUAUCAAGCGUCGUUUGUUUGACUUUGUUAUUGUGAGAAAUGCAGGAAUGGAAACGUUUAUUUUCAACGGAUUUUUGGGGCGUUUCAAGAAAAUAAAGAAACAUGGUCAAAAUGUGGGUUGUUACUAAGAUGAACAAUUGAAAAACAUCAGUAGCUGGAAAAAAAUCAAGUCAUGUGCAGUGAAAAGAAUAAAUACAACACAGUAAUCAGAUUGGAAUCUUCUGUAGUAUUGAGAGUGGAUUUUUUUACAAUGGACCAGAACUCAUGAUUAAUGUA